AUGUUCAGGAGCAUCCCAGCAGUUGCCUGUGAGAUUUUCCCGGGGACCAUCUUGAAGGCUGUUCCAUGUGCAAAAGUGUAUGUUCCUUUUACUACUGGGGAAGAACGGAGAUCAGGAGUGGAGUCACUCAAAGGCCCUCGUGGACUCCUUCUUGGAAAACUUGCCCUCAGCACGCCCCAUGGGCUGUCCAGAUGCCUCCACUCUGAACCCUGGAAAUGCCUCACACAUCAGCACCUGUACCGAGGACUCUGGAUCAACAUGCUUCCCAGUGCAGGGAUCGAGUCUCCCUCCCUGCAUUCCCAGUACAAGGUAGGAAGCCAGGCACCAAGGAAGCUAACAAUAGGUCUUAGCUGAUUUAGUAGAUUUCUUUAAUAAGAGACCAUUUGUUCCACAAUUAAAUAGGAAAAAUUAGCAUAUCAGUAUAAAUAAGGCAUUUUAAAAAACAUUAAUUGAGCUAUUAUUAUAUGCCUGGGAUUGUGCUAAUCCUUUCCUUGGAGUUUCCUGUUGAAUUUUCACAGCAACCUUAGGAGGCAGAUACUAUGAUCUCCAGGUUAGAAAUGAGGAAAUAAUUUCAGACAGGUGAACUUGCCCAGGAUCACAGCUAUUGUGCAGCAGAGCUGGGAGUUUCAGUUGGUAUACAAGUGAUGCUUCCAGAGCCUUCCUGAUUUGGGAAGAGGACAGCAAAAAUGUAGGUCACUGGGAAUCUAAAAGGAGAGAGGCUGUUACUAGUAGGAAAAAGGAAGUUAGAAAGAAAAGGCCACUGACAGAAAAAACAAACUAGUCUUCCCCAUUUUGGUCAGGCCUCAGUUUAACUGUGAGUGGGUAUUUAAAUCACAAGUGCAAGGCUGGAAGGUGGACACUGUAAAACUCUUGUUCCUCAGAUGCAUUCCAUUGAAUUCAACCCAACAUCAUUUAUUGAGGAUCUAUGGUAUGCCAGAAACAGUCCAAGAUGUCUGAUUUCCAAGUACAGACAAUAUAGAUCUCUUUGCCCAUAAGGAAUUCUCACUUUAGUGGGGCCAAGAGGUACACUGUCAACAGAUGCUCCAAGCACAACAGUAUGUGUUCUAUAAUCUAGGUAUGUAGUUAAAGCUGCGAAAGUGCAGAAAAGCUACGUUUUCCAGAGAAAUCUGAGAGGGUUUUACAGGUGAACCCUGACAUUUGAACUUGGCUUUGGUGCAUGCACAGAAGAUGGCCACGUGGAACAAGAAAAGUUGAGCAGUUGCAAAAGUAUAACUCAAAAGACAUAGUAAGGCUGGGCGUGGUGACUCACUCCUGUAAUCCCAGCAUUUUGGGGGACUGAGGCAGGUAGAUCACCUGAGGUCAGGAGUUCAAGACCAACCGGGCUAACAUGGUGAAACCCGUCUCUACAAAAAAUACAAAAAUUAGCCAGGCGUGACAGCGUGUGUCUGUAAUCCCAGCUACUUGGGAGACUGAGGUAGGAGAAUCGCUUGAACAUGGAAGGCAGAGGUUGCAGUGGGCUGAGAUUGUGCCACUACACUCCAGCCUGGGUGACAGACCAAUACUCCGUCUCACACACACACACACACACACACACACACACACACACACAUUCUCUCUCUCUCUCUCUCUCUCACUCUCACACACAAGAUAUGGUAGAUUGAGAACAAGCAAGGGAGUUGGGUCAUGGUAGGGUGGGGAGGGGGACAAGAUUGUAAAGGGUCCUCUAUACCACGCCAAGGAAUUCUGACCUUAUCCUGUGAAUUUAUAAGCAAGAGAAUGACAUAAUUAAAUGUGUAUUUUAGAAAAAAAACUUAAUGGCAACAUGGGGGGUUUGAAUGAGAGAACAGUUAGGAUUCUUACGAAAUGCAAAAUGAGAGUCCAGGGGCAGACCUGCACUGCGUAUGUAUGUGUUUAUGUUUAUGGAUAUGUAUGUGUGAGAAACAAUCUGUAGGACUUGGUGACGAACUGAAAAAGGAGAGUUUGAAAAAAGGGAAAAGUCAAUGGUCCCGGGUUUCUGGUUUAAGCAACUAGGUGACUUAAUUGAAUUAACAAAAACUGGAAACACAGAAACAGUUUUACCUUUGGUUUUGGUCACAAGGCAUGUAAAGUGCCAAAGGGACAUUCUUGUGGAGGCAGAAAUCAUAUAGGAGGCAUGAAAAUGUGACCCAAGAAGUCAGGUUAGGGAGAGAGCAGAGUAACAAUAUUAUCAUUUUAAAAAAAACGAAUGUGGGACUGCUGGACAACAUUAAAACACAUCUGGGAGGCAGAGUGGUGCAGUGGACAUGAGCUUUGGGGCUGAAGAAACCCAAGCUUCUUGACUUUGCCACUUAGUGCUGUGGCCUUGAGAAUGUGACCUACCCUUUCUGAAUCUCACAUGUGAAAUGAAGACAGUAUUAAUCUGUCUUCAGGGUCGGGCGCAGUGGCUCACGCCUGUAAUCCCAGCACUUUGGGAGGCUGAGGGGAGUGGAUCAUGAGGUCAAGAGAUCAAGACCAUCCUGGCCAACAUGGUGAAAUCCCAUCUCUAAUAAAAAUACAAAAAAUUACCUGGGCAUGGUGGCACCCACCUGUAAUUCUAGCUACUCAGGAGGCUGGGGCAGAAGAAUCACUUGAACCCAGAAGGCAGAGGUUGCAGUGAGCCCAGAUCGCACCACUGCACUCCAGCCUGGUGACAGAGCAAGACUCUGUCUCAAAAAAAAGUGUCUUCAGGGUUGUGUUCAGACUAGCAAUAGUGUAUGCAAACUUCCAACAGCGGUGGGCUGAGUAGGCACGCUGUGGUUUCUGUUGUUCAAGCACACAGAUGGAAAGGGUUGGGUUAAGGGUGGGGAAGCUGACUCACCUAUGUUUAAUAGAAAACAGGGAAGAGACGAUUUGCCAGAAGUGCCUGCAGUAAGGCAAGGUGCUGUUACUAUUCCUAGAGAAAGGGAUCUUCAGGUUCCAGAAAUAGGUGUUUGGGGUAGGAAAAAGUCCAUACCACCUUUUCUAUUUGAUCCCUCUAGUCACUCUCAAAGGACUGAAGUCAUUGUAUUGUUCUGGUUGGUUUUCAGGGUAACCUGUCUAUGCCCCUUUCCUGCUCCCUCCCCAAGAAAGAAUGAAGUGGGAGAGAGAAGGAAUAAGGCACCAAUCAGUGGACACGUAGACCAUCCCUAUCUUCUUAUUAAUACUUGGACUCCCUUUCAGGUGUGAUCCAUUCUUUCAUUUUAUAAUAGAGAAAGAAAUAAAUGACAUUCAUUGAUUUCAAAUUAUAAUCAGUUCAUUAAGGAAAAAUUAUUAAAAUGAGGUCCUUUUCUACUUUGAUUAGAAGAAAAAAUGAAAAUGGUAGGCGAGAUUUGAAUACAGGAAAUGUAUGGACAGUGGGAGGGUUGUUUAAAAAAGGAGGGGGGGUUGUAAAGAGUAGGAACACAGAAAACACACUUCAGAGUUUCCCAUUGUUGGUUUCCAAUAUUUGACAAACAUUAGCUGCAUGUAAGAUUUUUGUUGUACAAAUCUGCCAACAAUGGCAACUGUGCAUCUAGAAAUCUGUGAAGCUAUUGUUGUCAUUGUUGUUGACUUUAUUCUAAAAGGUUUCCUCUCUGAGAAUCUACAAAACUAUCAUAGCUCUCUCUACUUUCCUAAAUGCCAGAGCUCCCCAGGUGUCAACAUUCAGUGCAAUUGAGCACACUCCUAUGCAUUGUAUACUAGAUGCCAGACACUGCCCUAGGAGUAGGAUGGAGAAAAGGGAGCCGCUCUCCUCUCCUCAAGGAGCUUCCAGUGUGGAGAGAGUGAAAGCAGCUGUGGGGAUGUGUGAAGAUAAGGAUGAGGGAAGCAGAGGAACAAUGGCCACAGAAACAAAUAUAUUGUUUAAUUCCCACAGAUGACCUGGGCCUUGACCCAUUUGCAACCAUUACGUAAUCACUGAAGCAAGUUCAGCUAAAUUAUUCAAAAAUCUCUGAAUGCCAAUUCCAUUUAAUUUUAAAUAACAAGCAUCUCUGAGAGGGAUGAUUUUUGGAACAAUGACUAAGGGAAAAUAUUUUUCCAGCAGGGUUUUUGCACAGGAAAAAAAUUCAUUGCUUCCAUCCCUACAUCCCACACCCCACAUUCCACACCCCUUGGUGUAAAAAUAUUUGUAUUUAAAUA
ensembl:lncRNA